rnacentral:rRNA from 1 species
AAUUAAACUUUAGUGGCGAACGGGUGAGUAACGCGUAAGCAAUCUGCCCCUAAGACGAGGAUAACAGUUGGAAACGACUGCUAAGACUGGAUAGGAGACAAGAAGGCAUCUUCUUGUUUUUAAAAGACCUAGCAAUAGGUAUGCUUAGGGAGGAGCUUGCGUCACAUUAGUUAGUUGGUGGGGUAAAGGCCUACCAAGACUAUGAUGUGUAGCCGGGCUGAGAGGUUGAACGGCCACAUUGGGACUGAGACACGGCCCAAACUCCUACGGGAGGCAGCAGUAGGGAAUUUUCGGCAAUGGAGGAAACUCUGACCGAGCAACGCCGCGUGAACGAUGAAGUAUUUCGGUACGUAAAGUUCUUUUAUUAGGGAAGAAUAAAUGAUGGAAAAAUCAUUCUGACGGUACCUAAUGAAUAAGCCCCGGCUAACUAUGUGCCAGCAGCCGCGGUAAUACAUAGGGGGCAAGCGUUAUCCGGAAUUAUUGGGCGUAAAGGGUGCGUAGGCGGUUAAAUAAGUUUAUGGUCUAAGUGCAAUGCUCAACAUUGUGAUGCUAUAAAAACUGUUUAGCUAGAGUAAGAUAGAGGCAAGUGGAAUUCCAUGUGUAGUGGUAAAAUGCGUAAAUAUAUGGAGGAACACCAGUAGCGAAGGCGGCUUGCUGGGUCUUUACUGACGCUGAGGCACGAAAGCGUGGGGAGCAAACAGGAUUAGAUACCCUGGUAGUCCACGCCGUAAACGAUGAGUACUAAACGUUGGGUAAAACCAGUGUUGAAGUUAACACAUUAAGUACUCCGCCUGAGUAGUACGUACGCAAGUAUGAAACUUAAAGGAAUUGACGGGACUCCGCACAAGCGGUGGAUCAUGUUGUUUAAUUCGAAGGUACCCGAAAAACCUCACCAGGUCUUGACAUGCUUCUGCAAAGCUGUAGAAACACAGUGGAGGUUAUCAGUUGCACAGGUGGUGCAUGGUUGUCGUCAGCUCGUGUCGUGAGAUGUUGGGUUAAGUCCCGCAACGAGCGCAACCCUUAUUGUUAGUUACCAGCACGUAAUGGUGGGGACUUUAGCAAGACUGCCAGUGAUAAAUUGGAGGAAGGUGGGGAUGACGUCAAAUCAUCAUGCCCCUUAUGACCUGGGCUACAAACGUGAUACAAUGGCUGUUACAAAGGGUAGCUGAAGCGCAAGUUUUUGGCGAAUCUCAAAAAAACAGUCUCAGUUCGGAUUGAAGUCUGCAACUCGACUUCAUGAAGUUGGAAUCGCUAGUAAUCGCGAAUCAGCAUGUCGCGGUGAAUACGUUCUCGGGGUUUGUACACACCGCCCGUCAAACCACGAAAGUUGGCAAUACCCAAAGCCGGUGGCCUAACUUCGCAAGAAGAGGGAAC